CCCUUAGAUGUUCUGGGCCGCACGCGCGCUACACUGACGAAGUCAGCGAGCAUGUCCUACGCCGACAGGUGCGGGGAAUCUUGUCAAACUUCGUCGUGAUGGGGAUUGAUUAUUGAAAUUCUUGAUCAUCAACGAGGAAUUCCUAGUAAGCGCAAGUCAGCAGCUUGCGUUGAUUACGUCCCUGCCCUUUGUACACACCGCCCGUCGCUACUACCGAUUGGAUGGUUUAGUGAGACCCACGGAUUGGUCCCAGCAUGGCGGGUUACCGCCGCGCUGGCGCGCCGAGAAGUCGGUCGAACUUGAUUAUCUAGAGGAAGUAAAAGUCGUAACA
rnacentral:rRNA from 1 species